rnacentral:tRNA from 1 species
GCGCCAUUGGUUUAGUGGUAAAAUUCAACGUUGCCAUCACCUUGAACAAUUUCGUUGAGCCCUGGGUUCGAUUCCCAGAUGGCGCA